rnacentral:tRNA from 1 species
GAGAAGGUGGCAGAGUGGACGUGUAGCUGGCUUGAAACCAGUAUAUGGAGGUUCAAUUCCUUCCUUUCUUG